GACGAACGCUGGCGGCGGGCUUAACACAUGCAAGUCGAACGGAAAGGCCCUGCUUGUGUGGGGUGCUCGAGGGGCGAACGGGUGAGUAACACGAGAGUAACCUGACCUUGACUUUGGGCUAGCGUCAAGAAGCUGGGGCUCAUACCGGAUAGGAGCUCCUGCUGCAUGGGGGGGGUUGGAAAGUUUCGGCGGUUGGGGAUGGACUCGCGGCUUAUCAGCGUGUUGGUGGGGUGGUGGCUUACCAAGGCUUUGACGGGUAGCCGGCCUGAGAGGGUGACCGGCCACAUUGCGACUGUGCUACGGCCCAGACUCCUACGGGAGGCAGCAGUGGGGAAUAUUGCACGAUGCGCGGAAGCCUGAUGCAGCAACGCCGCGUGCGGGAUUAUGGCCUUCGGGUUGUAGACCGCUUUCGCCUGUGACGAAGCGUGAGUGACGGUAAUGGGUAAAGAAGCACCGGCUAACUACGUG
rnacentral:rRNA from 1 species